GCCACGCCCGCUCAAGAAACUUAAAGGAAUUGACGGGGGCCCGCACAAGCGGUGGAGCAUGUGGUUUAAUUCGAUGAUACGCGAGGAACCUUACCUGGGCUCAAAUGUAUGUUGACGUAUUCUGAAAGGGAUACUUCUUCGGACAAUAUACAAGGUGCUGCAUGGUUGUCGUCAGCUCGUGCCGUGAGGUGUCGGGUUAAGUCCCAUAACGAGCGCAACCCCUAUCAUUAGUUGCCAUCAGGUAAUGCUGGGGACUCUAAAGGAACUGCCUACGCAAGUAGUGAGGAAGGCGGGGAUGACGUCAAAUCAGCACGGCCCUUACGUCCAGGGCUACACACGUGCUACAAUGGCCGAUACAGAGGGCAGCUACCUGGUGACAGGAUGCAAAUCUCCAAAGUCGGUCUCAGUUCGGAUCGGAGUCUGCAACCCGACUCCGUGAAGUUGGAUUCGCUAGUAAUCGCGCAUCAGCCAUGGCGCGGUGAAUACGUUCCCGGGCCUU
rnacentral:rRNA from 1 species